AGCUUUUGCAGUGUUGAGUCAACUAAAGAACAGGAUUGGACUAUUUGCACUGCAACAUUACCUCCCUACUAGGCGAAGAAAAAGAAGAUCAACACAAAAGCAGGAUCAUGUUAUGGAUGUUUGAUGGGUUGGAUCGGAUGCACAUCAGGUUCCCAAACUUGGUGGUGUGUUUCUUUUGCGUUGAUCAAAGGGAGGAGUUCCUCCUCGGCUGGGCCUAAGAGUAUCAAACAUCCAAAGCCAAUGCCUGCCUGAGGAUGGUGGGGCCCGUUCCAUCCUUUCUUACAAGCAGCCCAGUUGAAGGCCAUGAAGCUUUCCUGCAUGAGCUUUAGAUCACAAGGCUGUCUCUCUUUAUGAUCAAUGUAUUUAACCCCUGUACACAGGUAGCUUUAUUGAUCCGCACUGCGAAACCGAAAACAUCUGGCCCCCUCAUUGGACAUCAGUAUGACUCUGACAGCUAGGAACUACUGGCCUCAUUAGCUAAAGGAGAAAGAGGGAAAAGUGCGGGACGCCUAAUUUCCCUUCCUUUCACAGUCUGGUUCUCCAAACACCGAAGCCCUGAAGCACGCUAAGCCUCUUACCUCUCUCUGUCUCUCUCUUUUUCUUCCUCAAACCGGUUCUGAAGUAUUUUCUGCUCCCCUUCACCCUAACCCACUUUAAAAGCUAUUCUCCUCCAGCUCAAUGCAAAUAAGGCCAUUUCAUUUUACUAUGCUGGCGGUACAUCUCCCACUAAAAGGAAUGGGAAGAGGUGGCACACUCCAUCUGUGCGCGGGAUGUGGUACCUUUUAAUGCCGUGGCGAUUUUUCUUUUAGAGUAUUACCACACUGAGCACCGAGGGCUGUGAAUAUUUCUGAGGAACUGCUAGUGUAUAAAAUGUAGCUAUAAUCUGCAAAUGGCCUUGAGUUCACAUUCAAUUUCAUCACCUGUUUGUGUGGCUUUAGAUGGCCAUAAGAAAGUCUUGUUUUUUUUUAAUCUGUGAAAACAGAGUAUGAUGCAAAGAACUGAAUGAAUGCAUUUAACUGCUGAGUCGACAGCUCAGUCCUAGUCACAGAAAGCAUAAAGGGAAAAAUCAAACCCAUGGGGUUGCAAAUUUUUUCACAUUUUUAGAG